rnacentral:rRNA from 1 species
GAUGAACGCUGGCGGCGUGCCUAAUACAUGCAAGUCGAGCGAACAGACGAGGAGCUUGCUCCUCUGACGUUAGCGGCGGACGGGUGAGUAACACGUGGAUAACCUACCUAUAAGACUGGGAUAAAUUCGGGAAACCGGAGCUAAUACCGGAUAAUAUAUUGAACCGCAUGGUUCAAUAGUGAAAGACGGUUUUGCUGUCACUUAUAGAUGGAUCCGCGCCGCAUUAGCUAGUUGGUAAGGUAACGGCUUACCAAGGCAACGAUGCGUAGCCGACCUGAGAGGGUGAUCGGCCACACUGGAACUGAGACACGGUCCAGACUCCUACGGGAGGCAGCAGUAGGGAAUCUUCCGCAAUGGGCGAAAGCUUGACGGAGCAACGCCGCGUGAGUGAUGAAGGUCUUCGGAUCGUAAAACCCUGUUAUUAGGGAAGAACAAAUGUGUAAGUAACUAUGCACGUCUUGACGGUACCUAAUCAGAAAGCCACGGCUAACUACGUG